AUGGCUGUCGUCAGCUCGUGUCGUGAGAUGUUGGGUUAAGUCCCGCAACGAGCGCAACCCUUGUCAUUAGUUGCUACAUUCAGUUGGGCACUCUAAUGAGACUGCCGGUGACAAACCGGAGGAAGGUGGGGAUGACGUCAAGUCCUCAUGGCCCUUAUGGGUAGGGCUUCACACGUAAUACAAUGGCGCGUACAGAGGGCUGCUAAGCCGCGAGGUAGAGCCAAUCCCUUAAAGCGCGUCGUAGUCCGGAUUGCAGUCUGCAACUCGACUGCAUGAAGUCGGAAUCGCUAGUAAUCGCGGAUCAGCAUGUCGCGGUGAAUACGUUCCCGGGUCUUGUACACACCGCCCGUCACACCAUGGGAGUGGGUUUCACCAGAAGCCGGUCGCCUAACCGCAAGGGGGGCGCCGACCACGGUGAGAUUCAUGACUGGGGUGAAGUCGUAACAAGGUAGCCGUAUCGGAAGGUGCGGCUGGAUCACCUCCUUUCUAAGAUGGCACUGCUCAGUGCCCACCCUCUAUCGGCUGUUUCUUAUUGAAGAGAGAGUUGACCUAUUGGGUCUGUAGCUCAGUUGGUUAGAGCACCGUCUUGAUAAGGCGGGGGUCGAUGGUUCGAAUCCAUCCAGACCCACCAGAUCCUCUCGCUCUUUAACAACAUGGGAUUGAAGGUAAAGUUGUUCUCGUUCGCGAGAGCGCGAGAUUGUUGGAGCGCGCGUUGAGCGGAUGAGGGCUAACUGGGUUAUGUAUUGCAUCGUGUUCUUCGAUCGCGAGGAUUGAUCGGGGAUGCACAAACUUAAGCGUGAGAGUUACCUAUUGCGUUGUGAUGCCCUGGGGGAGUUUGCCCUGGGGUGCUUUUCGCUCUAAAGGCGGGAGGCGGCAAGGUUAUAGGGUCAAGCGAAUAAGUGCAUGUGGUGGAUGCCUUGGCAAUGAUAGGCGACGAAGGACGUGACAGCCUGCGAUAAGCUGCGGGGAGCCGGCAAAUGGGCGCUGAUCCGCAGAUUUCCGAAUGGGGAAACCCGG
rnacentral:sRNA from 1 species